UCUUGAACACCUGAUAAAAACUACACGUCAUCACACGUCACAUGACGCUCUGAGGAAGACUGCAGACGCGGUUGAUACAUGUAAGCAAGAGUGAUGGCAGCUUGCAGACACAGAGGACCAGUGACGGAGAAGAAGCUGAGGAUUUUCUAUGUUUCUGCACAAACGCAGUUAGCAGAGAUCUGUACUGAUGGGAAGAAGCUGAGGUAAAAGAUAAUGACACCUCAAGAAGUCCUUCUGAGGAUUUUGGAAGAUUUGGGAGAAGAGGAGUUUGAAAAAUUCAAAUGGUUCUUGAACCAGGAAGAAGUCUUACAAGACUUCAAAUCAAUCCCAAAGUCUCGACUGGAGAAGGCUAAUAGGAUCAACACUGUGGAUCAAAUGUUCAACAAAUACUGUAGAAACACCAUUAAAGUCAAUGAGAAGGUUUUAAUGAAGAUGAAUAAAAUUGAUCUGGUGAGGAACAUAUCAAGAACCAUCAAAGAACCUACAGGCCUCUGCAGGAAGACAAAACUUAACGUAGCUGCUUCUGCGGACUUCCAGAGUACAAGUCUGUUUUUGUUAAUCCACAUGGACAGAUGUAUCUCACCUUGACCAACAUUCCAGGGUUUCUAAAUGCACAAGAGAAUCUCAGUGGAUUAAAUCCCUUAUAACUAAGUACAAUACAUGAGCUUGCUUUUGGGGCAGAACUGAUAUACAACAGACACUCGCCUACUUUUACUAUCCAAUAAGAAAGAAAAUCUCAGUUUUUAUUGUGGCAUCUUACUUUAUCAAGCUUUUGCUUUUGAAUGUUGUUAGUCUGCAUAACAGUGCUGCAUUUUAUUGGUAAGGGAGGUGGAACAAUGCUUUUAAGGCCUAAUUUCUGUAAAUAUUAUAGUGGGUUUACAUACACUACAGGCCAAAAGUUUGGAAGCAGAUCAAAACUGUACAAAAAAAUCAUAGUUUCAUUGGUAUGCUUUGCAACAAGAUAAAUGUGAUUGUUAUAUAAAGAGUCACUCAUCAGAAUAGAUUUUUACUAUAAUCAGGUAUUUGUAUCUGUACUCUUGUUUCUUUCUAGACAUUUCUGUGGUAGUUCUAGAGAUAUGGACGUAUUUGCAUUUUUUUGGGAUUUCUCUUUGCAAACUCUCAAAACCCAAUGAGCCAAAGUGAAUAAUGCAAACUGAUUUUUUUUUUUUUUUUAACUUUUGCACUGAAGUUGUGACUCUUGCAAAUCUUCUCAACUCUAAAACUAAUUGCUUCUUUUCUUUUGUUAACAUUUAUUUAGAAAUUGCCUGGUAAGUUCAAUGUAUAACUAAAGGUAAACUGAGGAAAGUCUGAUCAUGCAGUAAAUACAUCCCAAAAUCCAUAGAAUUUGCAGUUUUUAAAAAAAAUUAUUUUUACCUUUUUAAGAAAGAUAUUGUGAACAGAAACUUGAGGCUGCUUCCAAACUUCUGGCCUGUAGUGUACCCGUACCUUUGUUUUGUAAAUUACAAAAUUGGGCAACUAUAGCCAAGGGUUUUGCUAAACUUUGAGCCAACCCUGAUGUCUGCACAGGCUGGGGGGAAAAAAAAUCACUUUUGCCACAGCUUACCACUUAUAAAAAAUAACAUUUACCACUGUUCGAACACAAAGACAGAAAACUGUUUCCAUAACACACGAUGGGUAUAUUAUUUACAGAAUAAAAGAUAAAAAAUACAUCAUUUCCAUGACUGACAUCAAAAUAAAGAUUUUUGGACUUGAGGCAAAUGAUUAAAUAACUCAGUUGGAUGCAGUUACCUCACAUGGCCUCCCUCUUGUCUCUGGGUAUAUUUUGGCCAGGUGCUGCUGUCUGCAUCAAUCCCGUCAUAGAAGCAGGCUGAGUUAUAGUUCUGCAGGCAAGAUAAGCACUGGAGCUCUGCAAAUCAUAACUCACUUUCCAAAAAAUAUAAAACAAAACACGUGAUGUAAGCAGUAUACUAUAAUAUAUAAAUACAGUCCCAUAUGGUAUGUAACAGGAGAUGCAAUACUUCAUUGUACUGUAACUGUGCUGUUAACAAACACAUGCAAUUCCCACAUAAACAUAUGAAAUAAUUGCAUGCACAAAUAUACACUCCACUCAUUUUCUGUACUCUUUGACUAUAUAUUUUGUAUCUAUUGGUGUAAGGGGGACUUAAGACAGUGAAUAUUUGUCAGUCCAUAUUUUUUGAACACUGUUUAUAAGACGGAGGAGUUUUGUGUCGGCCUCUUGAAACUGAGUUUUUCCUACAGUGAUAAAUUUGACUGCAGCCUCGUUGAGUUCCGCUAUCUCAUUCCCUACACCUCCUAAUGCAACCCAGUCUUUAAUUUGGAAAAAAUUCUCAUCAUGAAACAGAGCGCUGUGUUGUCUUAAGAUAAGAUUCUCUCGGUACAACUUUUUCCCCUCCUUCACAACAAAUUAUGCGCAAAACCAUAAACCAAAGCUGCUGGUUGUACUUCAAACAUGGACAAAUGUCAAAUAUUAGUUUAAAUGUUGUAUUGUCUUUCUGUUUUUGCUAUGUUUUGGUGGCACCUCAUGUCUCCCUAUUUCUGCAGGACAUGGAGGCCCUGGUUAUCGCUCUUUGCAUGACAGGAAAGUUUGCUGUUGCGAUUGCCUUUGGUCUCUUCUUCCUGUAUGCCUGUGAGCGUUACCCAGUCAUCAUCAGGGUAUUUUGGUCCUAAACCCCAGAGGAAGAAACACUUCGACAGCUGGAAAUGCCCAUUUGUUAAAACUACAAUUAUAAGCUUCAGUAUAUAAUUUGCAGAACCCAAAGAACAGUUUCUAUAAAUUACAUAUUGUUACUCCGCCAAGGAACGUGGCGGAGUUAGGUGAUGAUUGGCGUACGUUUGUCUGUCCAUCUGUUAUUCCAUCUGUGUGCAACAUUACCCAAAAACAGACCAACGGAUUUGGAUGAAAUUUUCAGGGAAGGUCAGAAAUGACACAAGGACCACCUCACUAGAUUUUGGCAAUGAUGCGGCUUAUAGUCUGGAUACAUGGCUUUGUGAAAGAUUUCUGUAUCAUUGCGAGAUAGCGACACAGCAUCACUGUAACUAUGACAACAAGUGAACACUAUGUCAGCUGCCUGCUGACGAUCACAUGAUUGUGAUCCUACUACAAAUCCACCACUGUGGACUUAUCGGGACUUAUCUGUCGGAAAUGAUACAAGGAACAACUGAUUAAAUUGUUGGGGUGUUUCUGAGUCCCAUUAAUUCCCACCGCCUGCUACAUAUUUAGAUCACGUGAUUCGGCAUCCGUACAUAACGUAAACAUAACACAGGCCUGUACUCAGCGCAAGGUAAUUUUGUUUGUGGGUUCACCUAUACGACAUGGACACAAUCUAUGUUGCCGUGAUUUCUGAUCAUCAGUAACUAAUAAACAAAUGCUGCAUUUGUGACAAUGCCAUAUGGGGGAAUGAACAGCCUUGAGUGCUUUUCUUGUUAUACAAAUUAACCAUGAAAUAAACCAGUAAGAAAUAAAGUAAUACAUUUAUUGCAGCCAGUGCAGAGAUCAGCAAUUAUGGCCACUCUUAACUGACUAAAUAGAUGCAUUUGUGCAGAAAUUAUGAAUUCAGCUCACCGUUUUUCAUUUUAACUGACUCUAACAGGGAGAGCAAUGAUUUUGUCCAGAGGAAAAACUGAAAUAUUUCAUAGGUUCUCCAAUAGUUAUUUCAUGGUGUGUAUUACAAUUAAAAUGUUAUCUGGCUUGUCUGAGAGUUUACAGCGACUCUGUUAAUUCUUGUUAAAAAGGAACUAUUUUUUUCGGCCAUUAAUUAGCUGAAUCGCUGACCUGGAUUGUUCUUCGUCCAAGUCUCUGGCAGUAGGAAGCGGCAGCAUGAUGUGUCGUGUUGGCAGCAUGGUCGCUCCCUUCUAUGUUUACCUGGCUGAUGUCUGGAUCUACCUCCCUCUGGUGGACACACUCGUGUUUUCUGUCACCUUUGCACCAUUUUCCCAUUUAUCAUAAUUUAUCGACAAGAGUAUCCUGGCAACAGAACUAAUUGUAACAAAUAAAUUUUUUCCUCUACUCAUCACAACCCCCCUGUGCAGCUCAAUGUUGGAAUCCUGGCAUUUAUUAUCGGAGCGCUGACAAUGCUGCUGCCUGAGACUCUGGGCAAACCUCUAACAACCACCUUGGAAGAGAUUGAAUCUCUGGGACGGGAGCCCAGCAAGAAGUAGUCUGCUGUGGGCACUAAAGAGUACGAGGAGGGGCUGGAGCUGAACCAACAUGAAACCAAAGCCUGAGCUGUACAGGAAAACUAGAGACAGAAACAUGGAGAGAAACUUUGGGGGGAAAAAAACAACUGAUAAACCUGAAAGAAAAACAUCAUUGAUUUUUUGAAUUGUUGGGCGAAAAAAAGAAAAAAAGCUUUUAUCACAACCCUUGAAAUGACUUACAUUUUUUUUUUUUAUUGUUGACAUUUUGUUCUGCAAAGUGACCAACAGUUCUGAAUGUCAAAGGUCCAGAGAUCUUGCAUAAACUCUUCCGCAUUAGUCACAGUGAAGUCACGGCAAAUCAUGAGUUCAACAGUUGAGCAUGUUGUGUGUGGAAUUUGUGUAUGUGUGUAUAACUUGUGUGUCCAAGACCAAGGAAAAAAUGAAGGAUAAGUUCAUAUUUUGUCAUGUUUUUGUAAGUUUGACCUUCAUUUCUUGUUGGUAUACUAGCAUUGCAUUCACCAAACAAGAAAAGCACUGAGAGAGCGCAGUACUCUGCCAAGGCUGCUCAGUUGCUGUAUCUUUUCGGAUGAAAUCUUUAAUAGAAAAAAAACCUUGUGUUGAGCACAGGCGUGCAUAAUGCAUGUGUAUGUUAUGUACGGAUACCGAAUCGCGGGACCUAAACAUGUAGCGGAAUUGAUGGGACUCAGAAACACACCCACAAUUUAAUCAAGUGUUCCUUGUGUGAUUUCGAAUACAGGUAUGUCCCGACAGGUCCACAGCGGUCGAUUUGCAGCAGGAUUGCAGUCAUGUGAUCGUCAGAAGGCAGCUGAUGUAGUGUUCACUUCAAAGAAGUGUCUUUUUAAAAAUUUAGUCACCUUUUUGUGUGUGUGUGUGUGUGUGUGUGUGUGUGUGUGUGUGUGUGUGUGUGUGUGUGUGUGUGUGUGUGUGUGUGUGUGUGUGUGUGUGUGUGUGUAUUAAUGAAUAAACUUUGUAAGUCAGUGUUUUAGUUUUUCACAUCCUUAUAUUGUGCAUACAAUCUCGAUGCAGGACGUACUGAAGAGAAUCAGGUGAUGCUGUAUUAUUGUGUUUUAGAGUCCAGAUGUGAUAUCCAGAUGUUUGGACGAAAUGCAGAAAUGAACUACAAUAGUGGGGAAAUGCAAAUACCUGCUUCGCAUUACGGUAGUGUAGUAGUAGCAGGUUUUUGUUUCAUAUCAAACUGUAGUGUGGUGCUUUAUUCUGAAGGAGAAAAAAAAUCAUGAAAAGCAGCUGGUGAUGUAAACCUGAUGACAUUAGAUCAGCAGGUGAUGGAAGCUCAGUAGGUUCUACAAUCAACAGUAUGGAUUUUUUUUUCUAUGUCUAGUUUCUUUGUUUAUAUUUUUUUUUACUUUGCCAAGGAAGGCGGUGGAGUUAUGUGAUGAUCGACGUACGUUUGUCCAUCUGUGUGUCUGUCUGUUAGCAACAUCACUCAGAAAUGGGCUAAGGAAUGAACACUACAUCAGCUGCCUGCUAACGAUCACAUGAUUGCGACCCUACUAUGGUCCGUGUAUAUAUUGGCAAUUGGAUUUUCCGUUCUGAAACGGGUAUUGAAAAAGAAAAAACGAGUGGUUAUUUGAUUUUUGUUUUAAAAUACAAAAAUUCAAAUUGAAAUACAAGGCGUUUUUCCUUUUCAUGAUCAAAAAGAGAUAUAAAAUAUUUUAAAAAUGCUUUGAUUUUCAUAUUAUAUUUAGAAUAACAAAAAAGUAAAAUCAGUAAGAGACAGAAACGAAAAAAGGUCCGUUUUUUCAUAUUCUGAGACCGGAAGUGGUCAUCAGCAAGUGUGGAGCCAAACGGAGUACGGUGCAUAGAGUGUAUAUAGUUUUUUUCGUUAGUUUUCAUGGUCAAAGUGAGAGAUCAGGUGGCCGACCUUAAAAUAAAUCAAUAUCGAUUUUUUUUAAUAGAGCGUUAAAGUUUUGCGAAGCGAGGGGGCGGGGUUACUUGAUUGACAGUCUGGUCUGGAAUGAUUGACAGGUCCUAUGGAGGAGGCAGCAGAGACUCUGCUUUCCUCCUUUGGAUUAAUUCUGAUAUAAUAACUGUUGGUUUAUUUAUCGGUGGAGCAGCAGAACAUUUUCCACAGACAGUUUUCCUGCCCCUUGGCUUGUUUUAACCAGUUUUCUACCUUUGGCUGAUUCUACCAGCAGACACUGAAAGGACUCUGAUAGUUCGGUAAGUUAAUGUUUAUUUUCGUAUCGGUGCCGCUUUUACUGCAGUUUAUAUGCAGCUUCAGUGUCAGAUAUAAUGUGUGCCAUGCACUCCAGAUGUUGGUGGAGUUUAUUUCUGUGUGUGUUGACCAGAGAAGAAAGUUAGCAUAGUAAAUAUUAGCUUUAAUGUUAGCGAUGCUAACCGAGCUAGCUGCUCAGUUGUAGUCUGAUUAAAGCUAACGUAGCAUUAAGCUAACGUAGCAUUAAGCUAACGUAGCAUCAAGCUAACGAUAUGUAUGUGUUGAGUUUCAUGUAAACAGCUGAAGUGUGUUGUGUUAGUGUAAUGUGGUACAUUUAGUUAAUAAAACUGUUCAUGGAGACGCUGGUUUCAACGUUUAGAAAACCUAAAUGUGAUUAAAACAGUGAGGUUAAGGUUCUGUGUUGUCAGUAGUCCUGAAUAUCUGCUGAGCAAUGAAAUGUUCAUCAGUGAUUAAUCUUCAGUGUGAAACUUUUACUUUGCUCCUAUAUUUUUUUAAAAUGUAGGUCAUUUUAAGGUAAGACAUUGAAGGAUGGUUUUCUUAGGUUAAUGAAUUUAAGGUUUAAUACACUGAAAUCUGUCAAUGUUGUGUUUCUUUCAAUUUGAAAUAUCUCGAUUUAAUUAAUACAGCUCAGUCAGUUACAUUUUAUAUUAUUAAGAAUUCUUAUUCAGUUUAACACUAGAUGAUGUAUCAGUUCGUUGAGUAUAUCAGAGCCAGUUUUUUUCUUUUCAGACUCCGACAGCUGGUCGGUAAUAAAUGAUCAUUUACUGAUCGGUGCCGGUUGUAAUGAACUUUAUGUUCAACUUCAGAGUCAGAUAUAAUGUGAGCAGUGAACCCCAGGAGUUGGUGGAGUUUAUUUUUGUGUGUUGACGAGAGAAGAGAGUUAGCAUCCAGUGAAUAUUAGCUUUAAUGUGAAUUAGCGAUGCUAACCGAGCUAGCUGACCAGUCCUGAUUAGCAGCUAAAUGUAGCAUCAAGCUAACAAUGUUUGUGUGUUUCCUAUCAACAGCUGAAAUGUGUUGUGUUCCUGUAAUGUGGUUCAUUAAGUUCAUAAAACUGUGGCUGGUUGACGUUAAUGUAACGUUCAGGAAACUUAAAUGUGAUUAAAACGGUAACGUUAAUGUUCUAGUUGUCAGUAAUCAGCUUUAAUUUGACACUAAAACAGACUGUGAUAGUUUUAAAUGACAUCAGUUUCAUGAAUUUGUUGAAAAUUGUCUCAUUUGUUGUUGUGAUGUUGCUGCUGAUUCAUUAAAACCAGAUGAUCUGUGUUGAAGAUACGUUUAAUUCUAGUAUCAGAAGUACAAGAAGGAAAAUGGAAGUUUAGUUCUGCUACGUCAAAGAUUUCAAGAAUAAAAUAACUAAAUGCGUCUUUAUGCUUCAAACCUUAUUUUACAAUAAUGAAAUAAUCACAGAUAAUAAAAAUAUAAAUAGCAAAGAAAACCUGAGAGAAUAAUUUCCUGAAAAGUCUGUGAAGGAAAAGCAGCUUUUUAUCCUGAAAGAUCAGAAUCAGCUCCAACAUCUGCAUCUGACAGCAUCAAAUCAACCAGAAAGAAAAUGACUUCUUUCUGAUCACAUCUGUUCCGCUGCUCACAGGCUGCUGCUGCUCACAUUCUUCACAUUUAUUGUCCACUUUUAAAAGUUCAGCAGACAGGUGCUCUGCUUUUUGAAGUGUGACGAUGUCAUCGGUGAUGUGGAGAGUGAAGUUUCCGUUUUACCCACAGCAUGCUUGAGGGCAGACGGGUCAGACUUGAUGUUUAACAUACUGACUGACAGCUCAGAUUUACCUGUCUGUAGUUCUGUUUUGAUGGGUAUUAAACUUUCUUUCAAAGCCGACAGGAGCUGGAUCUUUAAAAUAACCGCCGUCUCGUUACAGAGUGAAAGUAGCAGUUCCUCCUUAAGGUCAGAGAUUGCAGCAACUGCGGGCCUCUUCAAAAGAAGACAUAGUGAUGAUGAAGGCGUUCUGGAGCAGGACCAGAAA